GUCUUCAAGCCCGCUGGUGAUUUUGAGGGUAAAUUCG
rnacentral:scRNA from 1 species